rnacentral:rRNA from 1 species
AAGCGUGCGCAGGCGGUUUUGUAAGUCAGAUGUGAAAUCCCCGAGCUCAACUUGGGAACUGCGUUUGAAACUACAAGACUAGAAUAUGUCAGAGGGGGGUAGAAUUCCACGUGUAGCAGUGAAAUGCGUAGAGAUGUGGAGGAAUACCAAUGGCGAAGGCAGCCCCCUGGGAUAAUAUUGACGCUCAUGCACGAAAGCGUGGGGAGCAAACAGGAUUAGAUGCCCUGGUAGUCCACGCCCUAAACGAUGUCUACUAGUUGUUGGUGGAGUAAAAUCCAUGAGUAACGCAGCUAACGCGUGAAGUAGACCGCCUGGGGAGUACGGUCGCAAGAUUAAAACUCAAAUGAAUUGACGGGGGCCCGCACAAGCGGUGGAUUAUGUGGAUUAAUUCGAUGCAACGCGAAAAACCUUACCUGGCCUUGACAUGUAACGAACUUUCCAGAGAUGGAUUGGUGCUCGAAAGAGAGCGUUAACACAGGUGCUGCAUGGCUGUCGUCAGCUCGUGUCGUGAGAUGUUGGGUUAAGUCCCGCAACGAGCGCAACCCUUGCCAUUAAUUGCCAUCAUUUAGUUGGGCACUUUAAUGGGACUGCCGGUGACAAACCGGAGGAAGGUGGGGAUGACGUCAAGUCCUCAUGGCCCUUAUGGCCAGGGCUUCACACGUAAUACAAUGGUCGGUACAGAGGGUUGCCAAGCCGCGAGGUGGAGCCAAUCCCAGAAAGCCGAUCGUAGUCCGGAUUGUAGUCUGCAACUCGACUACAUGAAGUCGGAAUCGCUAGUAAUCGCGGAUCAGCAUGUCGCGGUGAAUACGUUCCCGGG